rnacentral:rRNA from 1 species
UACGGAGGUGGCAAGCGUUGUCCGGAAUUAUUGGGCGUAAAGCGCGCGCAGGCGGUUCCUUAAGUCUGAUGUGAAAGCCCCCGGCUCAACCGGGGAGGGUCAUUGGAAACUGGGGAACUUGAGUACAGAAGAGGAAAGCGGAAUUCCACGUGUAGCGGUGAAAUGCGUAGAGAUGUGGAGGAACACCAGUGGCGAAGGCGGCUUUCUGGUCUGUAACUGACGCUGAGGCGCGAAAGCGUGGGGAGCAAACAGG